rnacentral:tRNA from 1 species
GGACGCUUAGCUCAGCUGGGAGAGCAUCUGCCUUACAAGCAGGGGGUCAUAGGGUCGAGCCCUAUAGCGUCCACCA